UCGCCUGUUUAUCAAAAACAUAGUUUUAUGAAAAAAUAUAAAAUUCAACCUGCCCAGUGUAAUUAUAAAUGGCCGCAGUACCUUGACUGUGCUAAGGUAGCAUAAUCAAUUGGCUUUUAAUUAAAGUCUGGAAUGAAAGGGAAAAUGAAAAAUAACUGUCUUGAAUAUAAUAUAUAAAAUUUAUUUAUCAGGUGCAAAUACCUGUAUUUAGAAUAAAGACGAGAAGACCCUAUGAGUUUUAAUUAAUAUUAAUCACUGAAUUAUUUAUUUUUUUGUUGGGGCGACAUGUUAACAUUUUGAACUUAACUUAUAAUAUAUUUAGCGUAAUUGUAAAAUGAAUUUAAACUACCUUAGGGAUAACAGCAUAAUUUAUUUUUAAGUUUGUGACCUCGAUGUUGGACUAGGAACUAUAUGGCUAACCGUUAAAUUAGAUUUGUUCUGUUCGAACAACACUAUCCUACGUGAUCUGAGUUCAGACCGGA
rnacentral:rRNA from 1 species